AGCACCCUUCCAGCUUUCGGGGGCAAACUUCCCUGACCCACUGUGGCUCUCCGAGCCAUUCCACCCCCUGUGCACUCUUGGGAAUGGAUCGACCCAGGUACACUGAAGCUGUGAAUGCGGAGAGCUGACCCGGACCAGACUGAGACCGCAUCUCCACUAUGUUGUGUGACUUGUCUUCGGUCCAGCUCUGUGCGCUGUGUAAGAAGCCAAGUUCAAUCGUGUGACAUUUCUGCAAAGGA